AGCGAACGCUGGCGGCAGGCCUAACACAUGCAAGUCGAACGCACCUUCGGGUGAGUGGCAGACGGGUGAGUAACACGUGGGAACGUACCCUUCGGUUCGGGAUAACUCAGGGAAACUUGAGCUAAUACCGGAUACGCCUUUACGGGGAAAGAUUUAUUGCCGAAGGAUCGGCCCGCGUCUGAUUAGCUAGUUGGUGAGGUAAUGGCUCACCAAGGCGACGAUCAGUAGCUGGUCUGAGAGGAUGAUCAGCCACACUGGGACUGAGACACGGCCCAGACUCCUACGGGAGGCAGCAGUGGGGAAUAUUGGACAAUGGGCGCAAGCCUGAUCCAGCCAUGCCGCGUGAGUGAUGAAGGCCUUAGGGUUGUAAAGCUCUUUCGGCGGGGACGAUAAUGACGGUACCCGCAGAAGAAGCCCCGGCUAACUUCGUGCCAGCAGCCGCGGUAACAC
rnacentral:rRNA from 1 species